AGUGUUUAGUUUUCUGUUCUUGUGUUAGUUUGCUGAGAAUGACGGUUUCCAGCUUCAUCCAUGUCCCUGCAAACAACAUGAACUCAUCCUUUUUUAUGGCUGCAUAGUAUUCGAUGGUAUAUAUGUGCCACAUUUUCUUUAUCUAGUCUAUCAUUGAUGGGCAUUUGGGUUGGUUCCAAGUCUUUGCUAUUGUGAACAGUGCUGCAAUAAACAUACAUUUGCAUGUGUCUUUAUAGCAGAAUGAUUUAUAAUCCUUUGGGUAUAAUGGGAUUGCUGGGUCAAAUGGUAUUUCUGGUUCUAGAUCCUUGAGGAAUUGCCAUACUGUCUUCCACAAUGGUUGAACUAAUUUACACUCCCACCAACAGUGUAAAAGUGUUCCUGUUUAUCCACAUCCUCUAAAGCAGCUGUUGUUUCUUGACUUUUUAAUCAUCACUAUUCUAACUGGCAUGAGAUGGUAUCUCAUUGUGGUUUUGAUUUGCAUUUCUCUAAUGAUCAAUGGUGAUGAGCUUUUUUUCAUAUGUUUAUUGGCCACAUAAAUGUCUUCUUUUAGGAAGUGUCUGUUCAUAUCCUUCACCCACUUUUUGAUGGGGUUGUUUGUUUUUUUCUUGUAAAUUUGUUGAAGUUCUUUGUAGAUUCUGGAUAUUAGCCCUUUGUCAGAUAGAUAGAUGGCAAAAAUUUUCUCCCAUUCUGUAGGUUGCCUGUUUACUCCAAUGAGAGUUUCUUUUGCUGUGCAGAAGCUCUUUAGUUUAAUUAGAUCCCAUUUGUCAAUUUUGGCUUUUGUUGCAAUUGCUUUUUGUGUUUUUGUCAUGAAGUCUUUGCCCAUGCCUAUGGUGAGGACAAUCUUCUAUGAACCCAGACAAGAACCAAAUCCGGCAGCACCUUGAUCUUGGACUUCCAAAUCUCCAGAACUUAUACACAGAGCUAUUCAUCCCAGUAACAAGAAUGUGAAAAUAACGAUGUGAAGAUGUAUCAGGCUCUACGUUCAGGGUGCAUAGGUACAGCUUUGGCGUGGGAAUGCAAGGACCAGUCAAGAGUAGAAGCAGAACUGGCUUUCGUGAGGGCGGAGUGGCCAAUGAUGCCGAGAUGUACUCAUCCCAAAGCAUUUUCAUCAAUGACAGCCCUGGAAAGUGAACCAUCCAUGUCUGGGAGUACUCAUGCAUGUUGCUGCAAAGAUCCUGAAUAAAAUAUUGGUAAAUAGAAAUGGCAGGGCACUCUUUAAAAAGACCAAAUGGACUUCACCUCAGAAGGAAAUAAUAGUUUAAUAUUAAGAAAUCUAUUCAUGCAAUUCGCCAUGUUAAUAAAUUAAUCAUUUGUUAACCUGAACAAGUACUGAAAUGUGUCUUAAUAAAGACAAUAUCCA
rnacentral:lncRNA from 1 species